rnacentral:rRNA from 1 species
AUUGAACGCUGGCGGAAUGCUUUACACAUGCAAGUCGAACGGCAGCACGGGGGCAACCCUGGUGGCGAGUGGCGAACGGGUGAGUAAUACAUCGGAACGUGCCCAGUCGUGGGGGAUAACUACGCGAAAGCGUAGCUAAUACCGCAUACGAUCUACGGAUGAAAGCGGGGGAUCGCAAGACCUCGCGCGAUUGGAGCGGCCGAUGGCAGAUUAGGUAGUUGGUGGGGUAAAGGCNCACCAAGCCGUCGAUCUGUAGCUGGUCUGAGAGGACGACCAGCCACACUGGGACUGAGACACGGCCCAGACUCCUACGGGAGGCAGCAGUAGGGAAUCUUGCGCAAUGGGCGAAAGCCCGACGCAGCCAUGCCGCGUGAAUGAUGAAGGUCUUAGGAUUGUAAAAUUCUUUCACCGGGGAAGAUAAUGACGGUACCCGGAGAAGAAG